rnacentral:rRNA from 1 species
AGAGUUUGAUCCUGGCUCAGGACGAACGCUGGCGGCGUGCCUAAUACAUGCAAGUCGAACGAACUCUGGUAUUGAUUGGUGCUUGCAUCAUGAUUUACAUUUGAGUGAGUGGCGAACUGGUGAGUAACACGUGGGAAACCUGCCCAGAWGCGGGGGAUAACACCUGGAAACAGAUGCUAAUACCGCAUAACAACUURGACCRCAUGGUCCGAGUUUGAAAGAUGGCUUCRGCUAUCACUUUUGGAUGGUCCCGCGGCGUAUUAGCUAGAUGGUGRGGUAACGGCUCACCAUGGCAAUGAUACGUAGCCGACCUGAGAGGGUAAUCGGCCACAUUGGGACUGAGACACGGCCCAAACUCCUACGGGAGGCAGCAGUAGGGAAUCUUCCACAAUGGACGAAAGUCUGAUGGAGCAACGCCGCGUGAGUGAAGAAGGGUUUCGGCUCGUAAAACUCUGUUGUUAAAGAAGAACAUAUCUGAGAGUAACUGUUCAGGUAUUGACGGUAUUUAACCAGAAAGCCACGGCUAACUACGUGCCAGCAGCCGCGGUAAUACGUAGGUGGCAAGCGUUGUCCGGAUUUAUUGGGCGUAAAGCGAGCGCAGGCGGUUUUUUAAGUCUGAUGUGAAAGCCUUCGGCUCAACCGAAGAAGUGCAUCGGAAACUGGGAAACUUGAGUGCAGAAGAGGACAGUGGAACUCCAUGUGUAGCGGUGAAAUGCGUAGAUAUAUGGAAGAACACCAGUGGCGAAGGCGGCUGUCUGGUCUGUAACUGACGCUGAGGCUCGAAAGUAUGGGUAGCAAACAGGAUUAGAUACCCUGGUAGUCCAUACCGUAAACGAUGAAUGCUAAGUGUUGGAGGGUUUCCGCCCUUCAGUGCUGCAGCUAACGCAUUAAGCAUUCCGCCUGGGGAGUACGGCCGCAAGGCUGAAACUCAAAGGAAUUGACGGGGGCCCGCACAAGCGGUGGAGCAUGUGGUUUAAUUCGAAGCUACGCGAAGAACCUUACCAGGUCUUGACAUACUAUGCAAAUCUAAGAGAUUAGACGUUCCCUUCGGGGACAUGGAUACAGGUGGUGCAUGGUUGUCGUCAGCUCGUGUCGUGAGAUGUUGGGUUAAGUCCCGCAACGAGCGCAACCCUUAUUAUCAGUUGCCAGCAUUAAGUUGGGCACUCUGGUGAGACUGCCGGUGACAAACCGGAGGAAGGUGGGGAUGACGUCAAAUCAUCAUGCCCCUUAUGACCUGGGCUACACACGUGCUACAAUGGAUGGUACAACGAGUUGCGAACUCGCGAGAGUAAGCUAAUCUCUUAAAGCCAUUCUCAGUUCGGAUUGUAGGCUGCAACUCGCCUACAUGAAGUCGGAAUCGCUAGUAAUCGCGGAUCAGCAUGCCGCGGUGAAUACGUUCCCGGGCCUUGUACACACCGCCCGUCACACCAUGAGAGUUUGUAACACCCAAAGUCGGUGGGGUAACCUUUUAGGAACCAGCCGCCUAAGGUGGGACAGAUGAUUAGGGUGAAGUCGUAACAAGGUAGCCGUAGGAGAACCUGCGGCUG